GACGAACCGAGCGAACGUUGUUCGGAAUCACUGGGCUUAAAGGGCGCGUAGGCGGGCUAUCAAGUCUGGGGUGAAAUGCCCACGGCUCAACCGUGGAACUGCCUCGGAUACUGACGGCCUCGAGGGAGGUAGGGGCAUGCGGAACUGUAGGUGGAGCGGUGAAAUGCGUUGAUAUCUAGAGGAACACCAGUGGCGAAGGCGAGUCCCUGGACGACACCUGACACUGAGGCACGAAAGCCGGGGGAGCAAACAGGAUUAGAAACCCGUGUAGU
rnacentral:rRNA from 1 species